rnacentral:rRNA from 1 species
GAUGAACGCUGGCGGCGUGCCUAAUACAUGCAAGUCGAGCGAACAGACGAGGAGCUUGCUCCUCUGACGUUAGCGGCGGACGGGUGAGUAACACGUGGAUAACCUACCUAUAAGACUGGGAUAACUUCGGGAAACCGGAGCUAAUACCGGAUAAUAUAUUGAACCGCAUGGUUCAAUAGUGAAAGACGGUUUUGCUGUCACUUAUAGAUGGAUCCCCGCCGCAUUAGCUAGUUGGUAAGGUAACGGCUUACCAAGGCAACGAUGCGUAGCCGACCUGAGAGGGUGAUCGGCCACACUGGAACUGAGACACGGUCCAGACUCCUACGGGAGGCAGCAGUAGGGAAUCUUCCGCAAUGGGCGAAAGCCUGACGGAGCAACGCCGCGUGAGUGAUGAAGGUCUUCGGAUCGUAAAACUCUGUUAUUAGGGAAGAACAAAUGUGUAAGUAACUAUGCACGUCUUGACGGUACCUAAUCAGAAAGCCACGGCUAACUACGUG